GAUGAACGCUGGCGGGAGGCCUAACACAUGCAAGCCGAGCGGUAUUUCUUCUUCGGGAGAGAGAGAGCGGCGUACGGGUGCGGAACACGUGUGCAACCUGCCUUUAUCUAGAGGAUAGCCUUUCGAAAGGAAGAUUAAUACUCUAUAAUAUAUUAAUUGGCAUCAAUUGAUAUUGAAAACUCCGGUGGAUAGAGAUGGGCACGCGCAAGAUUAGCUAGUUGGUGAGGUAACGGCUCACCAAGGCAAUGAUCUUUAGGGGGCCUGAGAGGGUGAUCCCCCACACUGGUACUGAGACACGGACCAGACUCCUACGGGAGGCAGCAGUGAGGAAUAUUGGUCAAUGGGUGCAAGCCUGAACCAGCCAUCCCGCGUGAAGGAUUAAGGUCCUAUGGAUUGUAAACUUCUUUUGUAUAGGGAUAAACCUACCCUCGCGAGGGUAGCUGAAGGUACUAUACGAAUAAGCACCGGCUAACUCCGUGCCAGCAGCCGCGGUAA
rnacentral:rRNA from 1 species